rnacentral:rRNA from 1 species
CUCCAACGAGCGCAACCCUGACGCAGCCAUGCCGCGUGAAUGAAGAAGGCCUUCGGGUUGUAAAGUUCUUUCGGUAGCGAGGAAGGCAUUUAGUUUAAUAGACUAGGUGAUUGACGUUAACUACAGAAGAAGCACCGGCUAACUCCGUGCCAGCAGCCGCGGUAAUACGGAGGGUGCGAGCGUUAAUCGGAAUAACUGGGCGUAAAGGGCACGCAGGCGGUGACUUAAGUGAGGUGUGAAAGCCCCGGGCUUAACCUGGGAAUUGCAUUUCAUACUGGGUCGCUAGAGUACUUUAGGGAGGGGUAGAAUUCCACGUGUAGCGGUGAAAUGCGUAGAGAUGUGGAGGAACACCAAUUGCGAAGGCAGGUUACCAAGAUAUAACUGA